CCCGCCGGANGCUACCGCUAUUGGAGUCCGANUANNNNNUGCGAGUCGAGAGCUUUCGGAGCUCGGCAUACUGCUCAGUAACACGUGGGUAACCUGCCCUAUGCUGGGGGAUAACCUCGGGAAACUGAGAACAAUACCCCAUAGUCCACUACGCCUGGAACGGUGAGUGGAUGAAAGCCCCGGCGGCAUAGGAUGGGCCUGCGGCGUAUCAGGUUGUAGGGGGUGUAAUGUACCCUCUAGCCCUCGACGCGUACGGGUUGUGAGAGCAAUAGCCCGGAGAUGGAUUCUGAGACAAGAAUCCAGGUCCUACGGGACGCAGCAGUCGCGAAACCUUGACAAUGCGGGAAACCGUGAUCAGGGGACUCCAAGUGCCAGGAGUAAGAUCCUGUGCUUUUCAUCUCUCUUCAAAGGAUUUGGAAUAAGGGGUGGGUAAGGACGGUGCCAGCCGCCGCGGUAAUACCGGCGCCUCAAGUGGUAGUCGAUUUUAUUGGGCCUAAAACGUCCGUCGCCGGUCUGGUGCAUUCGUGGGUAAAUCAACCCGCUCNAACGGG
rnacentral:rRNA from 1 species